GACCCCUUAGCUCAGUGGUAGAGUAUGAGAUUCCAGCAACAUGUGGCUCCCUUUGCCCUUUUCCGGCUCAGGGCAGUGAAUUUGCCGAGGUUCCUCAGGGUCAUCCGUUCAAUCCGGGUAGGGGUCA